rnacentral:SRP_RNA from 1 species
CUAGAUGGGGAGGUAGCGGUGCCCUGUAACCCGCAACCCGCUAUAGCGGGAUUGAAUUCCGUUUCGCGGCGUCUUUUCGUGGGGUCUUGGCACGGACACGUGGCGUUGACGAUUGGGUCCUGCGCAAUAAGACUUUGUGAACCCCGCCAGGUCCGGAAGGAAGCAACGGUAAGCAAAUGUUUUUAUGUGCCGCGGGGUUACCUGG